UACGUAGGGUGCGAGCGUUAAUCGGAAUACUGGGCGUAAAGCGUGCGCAGGCGGUGAUGUAAGACAGGUGUGAAAUCCCCGGGCUUAACCUGGGAACUGCAUUUGUGACUGCAUCGCUGGAGUGCGGCAGAGGGGGAUGGAAUUCCGCGUGUAGCAGUGAAAUGCGUAGAUAUGCGGAGGAACACCGAUGGCGAAGGCAAUCCCCUGGGCCUGCACUGACGCUCAUGCACGAAGCGUCG
rnacentral:rRNA from 1 species